GGGGCUUGGGAGACUGUGAGGGACAAACAGUCCUUUUGGAACUGGGACCCUGAGGAAAAAAUGUGUGGCACCUCUUAGGAUGUAAUUGAGGUUGGAGCUGCGAUGUCUCCUGAAAAUGACUGCGUUGCGUUGAAGCCAUAGCUAGGAAGAAUUCAACUUCAUCAAGGUGUCCUUACAGAGGCCAGGGGAGUUGGGUAACACUUCUGACACACCCGACAAACGAGAGAAAACGUACCCCAAAGGCCGUUGCACACCAUUUCACAGCGCUCUGAGGAAACCUGGAGCAAAACAGUGCCUCAGAUGAUCCACCCAGUUACCUGUCUUCCACUCUCUGGGUGUGACCAGUGUGGAAUCGCUAUAUAUAUCCAUCAGCUACGGACCUGCUGCAGCAGACGAAGGCAAACCUCCUGGAUUGGUGUUACGUACUUGUUUACCCGUCUUUACCAAGAUCAACAUGAGUGAAGAAGAACUGAAGCCUGAGGUGGCUGUAGAGGAAGAGGAAUCUGGAUCUGAAUCAGGGGAGUCUGAUGGAGAACCCAAUGGAAAGAGGAAGGGGAAAAAUAAGGGGAAGAAAGGAGGGAAGGGUAAAGGAGGAGAGCACGGGCAUGGCCAUGGUCCUGGAGAAGAGCAUGGCAGAGGAAGAGGGGACGGAGGAAGAGGAGGUGGUGGCGGUGGAAGAGGAGGUGGCGGUGGAAGAGGAGGUCGUGGAGGACAUGACUAAAGUCCUGUUUGUCACCUGCACUUUCACUGCUGUAAGAACCAGCUCCAGGCUGUUAAUGAAUGCUUGAUGUGUCAAUAAUUAAUAAAAGUUUAUUAC
ensembl:lncRNA